rnacentral:rRNA from 1 species
AGCAGCCGCGGUAAUUCCAGCUCCAAUAGCGUAUAUUAAAGUUGUUGCAGUUAAAAAGCUCGUAGUUGAAUUUCAGGCCUGGCUGGACGGUCCGCCCUUCGGGUGAGUACUGUCUGUGGUCGGGUCCUACCUUCUGGCGAAGCGUCAUGGCCUUAACCGGCCGUGGCGGGGAACCAGGACUUUUACUGUGAAAAAAAUUAGAGUGUUCAAAGCAGGCAAUCGCUUGGAUACAUUAGCAUGGAAUAAUGGAAUAGGACAAUGGUUCUAUUUGUUGGUUUCUAGGACCGUUGUAAUGAUUAAUAGGGAUAGUUGGGGGCAUUAGUAUUCAAUUGUCAGAGGUGAAAUUCUUGGAUUUAUUGAAGACUAACUACUGCGAAAGCAUCUGCCAAGGAUGUUUUCAUUAAUCAAGAACGAAAGUUAAGGGGAUCGAAGACGAUCAGAUACCGUCGUAGUCUUAACCAUAAACUAUGCCGACUAGGAAUCGGGCGAUGUUGAAAAAAUGAACGCGCUCGGGCACCGUCA